GGAUGCGAUCAUACCAGCACUAAAGCACCGGAUUCCAUCAGAACUCCGAAGUUAAGCGUGCUUGGGCGAGAAUAGUACUAGGAUGGGUUACCUCCUGGGAAGUCCUCUGUUGCAUUCC
rnacentral:rRNA from 1 species